rnacentral:rRNA from 1 species
GAUGAACGCUGGCGGCGUGCCUAAUACAUGCAAGUCGAGCGAACGGACGAGAAGCUUGCUUCUCUGAUGUUAGCGGCGGACGGGUGAGUAACACGUGGAUAACCUACCUAUAAGACUGGGAUAACGUCGGGAAACCGGAGCUAAUACCGGAUAAUAUUUUGAACCGCAUGGUUCAAAAGUGAAAGACGGUCUUGCUGUCACUUAUAGAUGGAUCCGCGCUGCAUUAGCUAGUUGGUAAGGGAACGGCUUACCAAGGCAACGAUGCAUAGCCGACCUGAGAGGGUGAUCGGCCACACUGGAACUGAGACACGGUCCCGACUCCGACGGGAGGCAGCAGUAGGGAAUCUUACGCAAUGGGCGAAAGCCUGACGGAGCAGCGGCGCGUGAGUGAUGAAGGUCUUCGGAUCGUAAAACUCUGUUAUUAGGGAAGAACAUAUGUGUAAGUAACUGUGCACAUCUUGACGGUAGCUAAUCAGAAAGCCACGGCUAACUACGUG